CUCUAAUAGCAUAAAAAGUUUGUGCUCAUUAGAUAACCAGAAAAACGGGACCGUUCGUGGAGACAUUUGCUCGUUCAAAAGCGUCCUAAAAUUAAGAACAAAGAGAACAGGGAAAGAAAAGAGAUAGGUGUUUUGGCAUCCAUAGAAGCAAGUAUCAUCCAUACAAAUUUCUGAACGCCAGUGGUAUUUGCAGCAAAUCGAUGCUAUCGAUUUAUUUGACAGUUUUUUUAUGUUGUCAGAAAAAUGCUUUUUUAAAGUGAGGGCAUUUUGAAUUGUUACAAUAUCAGAAACUGGCAUACAGAAAAUCGGCAUUUAAUGUUUGAGAAGACACAACAAGGAUGCUUCGGAUUUGGAAUGAGAUCUUACAGCACGUAGAUCCUAGACUAAAAAUCCUGAAAUCCUUGAGGAAGGUAUGCCAGGACUGGAUCCGCUCGAAAAUAUUCCAUUAGCUCAAUAUAAAGCUCUUUACCUCCAGUGCACCAACUUGAUAUGUAACUGUAAACUUAACUUAAUAUGUUUACUAUUUUUUAUUUUUACCUAUGUUUCUAAUUUUUAUUCCUGGCCUACUGUUAAAUUAUGCAUUUAAUUUUAAAAAAUGGUCA